rnacentral:rRNA from 1 species
CGCCUGUUUAUCAAAAACAUGUCUUUUUGUGAAUUAUUUAAGGUCUGGCCUGCUCAAUGAGUUGUUAAAUAGCCGCAGUAUUUUGACUGUGCAAAGGUAGCAUAAUCAUUAGUUUUUUAAUUGGAAGCUGGAAUGAAUGGUUGGAUGAGGAAGUAACUGUCUCAUUUUAAUUUGUUGAACUUUAUUUUUGAGUUAAAAAGCUUAAAUUUUAUAGAAAGACGAGAAGACCCUAUAGAGUUUGAUAAGUUCAUUAUUUGGUUUUUUAGGUUUUUAUUUUUAAUUGAGUUUGACUUUAUUUUGUUGGGGUGAUAUGAAAAUUGGUUGAACUUUUCAUUAUUUUUACAUUGAUUUAUGGUUUAUUGAUCCUGAAGAUUUGGAUUUAUAGUUUAAAUUACCUUAGGGAUAACAGCGUAAUUCUUUUAGAGAGUUCUAAUCGAUAAGGGAGAUUGCGACCUCGAUGUUGGAUUAAAGUUAAUUUUUGGUGCAGAAGCUAGAAUUUUGAGUCUGUUCGACUCCUAAAACUUUACGUGAUCUGAGUUUAGACCGG